AGAGUUUGAUCCUGGCUCAGGACGAACGCUGGCGGCGCGCUUCACACAUGCAAGUCGAACGUGAAGCCCGGGCUUGCCCGGGUGGAAAGUGGCGAACGGGUGAGUAACACGUGAGCAACCUGCCCCGAAGACCGGGAUAACACCGGGAAACCGGUGCUAAUACCGGAUGCCCUCGCCGGACCGCAUGAUCCGGCGAGGAAAGCUCCGGCGCUUCGGGAUGGGCUCGCGGCCUAUCAGCUUGUUGGUGGGGUCAAGGCCCACCAAGGCGACGACGGGUAGCUGGUCUGAGAGGAUGUCCAGCCACACUGGGACUGAGACACGGCCCAGACUCCUACGGGAGGCAGCAGUGGGGAAUCUUGCGCAAUGGGCGAAAGCCUGACGCAGCGACGCCGCGUGCGGGAUGAAGGCCUUCGGGUUGUAAACCGCUUUCAGCAGGGACGAAAUUGACGGUACCUGCAGAAGAAGCCCCGGCCAACUACGUGCCAGCAGCCGCGGUAAUA
rnacentral:rRNA from 1 species